GGCGGGGCUUCGGAGAUGACUGGCUUCAAAAUUGCUUCAGCAUUUUGGCGCCAAAUGAUCGCUAUUCAUACUUAAGCCAAUUGCUGCUGCUUCUUGGCUGGUGUGAAUCUGUGUGAUUCCUAGACAUCGGCUUGCCCCAGGAUGCUGUACUGGCCCUUCCUUCUCUUUGUAUCCGUACUCCACCAGAUAUUUCUCUAACUUGUUGGGUUUGGCCAGCAAACCCUGAGACGGCGAAUGAAAAGAUUACCCCAGACACCUCAGUAGGAGAAAGGAGAGACCUGAGGACCAGACACUCUAGCAGCGAACGGCCUCGAACCAAGCCUUGUCUCCAGUGUUACUGGGGUCUUCUCAGUACACCAGGCGCAAGCGCACAACAAGGAGGCAAGGAGUCCAUGAGGUACGUGACCGCCCCAGGUGCCUGUUUGUCUUCAAAACUGGAACAUUGACUUGCUAGACGAGAACCUUGAGCCUCAGUAAGAA